UCUGAUACGAAACAAGAAGGAUACGUUGAGCGUAAUGUCUCACUGUAAUGUUGUGUACAAGAUCACAUGCAACGAAUGCGACGCUUCCUAUGUCGGCCAGACAAAACGACAACUCCAUACCAGAGUUAAUGAGCAUAAGAGAGAUAUUUUAAAAAGAGGGGGAUCCCCUUCGGUUAUCUCCAAUCAUAGAUUGACCUCCGGUCACGAGUUUAAAUGGAACGAUGUACAUAUCCUUGAUGAGGAGAGUUCGUAUAAAAAAAGACUCGUUUCUGAAAUGGUUAAUAUCAAACUACAACCAAACUCCCUCAAUUUGCAAACCGAUACGUUGGCGUUACCGGAGGUUUAUCUUCCUAUCCUAGACUUAUUUUCUUCCCAAUAACCUUAUUUUUAAUAUUUUCCUGGGCUGUUUGUGUGGAUGUUGUGAUCUGUUGAGCGCUCGAUUUAUCCCAGUCGCCUCUAAUACAUCAGAGAGAAAUGGUGAAAUAUGUUCGUGUGUCGUGGUUAAGUCUUGUUUUGCAGUACAUAUAAAGAAAGUUUUAUUAUAUAUAAUGACUCUGCUACACUAUGUUACACGGCUAACUGCUCUUGGAAUGACAAUUGCAAUGACUAAUUUUUACUGGAUUUUUUAUUUUUGUUGACCUCAAUUACGACUUACAAUUUAUAAUAGAUGUUUCCGAUUUAUAUUUUUGAUUUAAUAUGUGAGUAUACAGCUGUUCAUUUUUAUUCUGGUUUUUCAGCCGAACGACAAAUUGUUUAUACAUGUUUGAUUUGUAACAGGAUACCGCUUUUUUGAAAUUUUAAAUUAACAUUGAAGAUGAUCCAAUGAUGUGACCGAAACGUUUGUUAUUGAUUCAUCUGUACCAUUGGAUGAAUAAUAAAUUGAUCAGCUAUCAACAACCAG